ACAGACCCCGGGGAGCCCGGCGGUGAAGCUCCUGGUAUCCUGGGUGUCUGA
ensembl:miRNA